rnacentral:lncRNA from 1 species
AGAAGAUAACCUUUUAUAUACUGCUGCAUAGGGAGAAAUAUUUGAUUUGACUGAGUUGACUUCCAUUUUGAAGUGCUGCACUAGACUUUCCUUCUUUAAACAUAGAAAUAAAAAUCCCUAUUCAAGCUGUGACCUCACAUUCCUUCUUGCUUCCUAGGGAAUGAGGAACUCUCAAAGUCUCAGAAUUCCAGCCUCCUGCUCUGUGUUUAGGGAGUGCCAGUGCAUUCUUCUUCUUGGUGAAAACAAUUGUUUCUGAGGAAUACACUGAGGGCAUAUACAUGUGCAGAGGAUAGCCAUACAGAAUGGAUGCGCAGUCCUGGAAAUGCAGACUCACACUGCUCCCUCAGAACCUGAGAUGUGGAGGAAUUUCAAGAACAAGCCUUCUGCUGUUUAUGGACCAGAUGGCCAGAUGGGGAUUCUACCCAGAAAAUACUACCUGAAAUCAGGUAGCAUUCAAAUACUGAGUCUUAAGUACAAUUGUAAGGGUUGCUGGAAACCUUAUAUCUCCAUCUGUGAAAAUGAAAAGUGAUGUAAGGCUCCCCAGGACUCUGCACUGGUGCUGUGGAAUCAUAAUAUGGAGCAGUGGCAGCUGGUGAUGACACUUCAGUUUAAUCUCAACAUAAAUACAGAGCUCUUAAGGAAGAAUACCUUGUUAUUUACAAUCCAGCACUUUUCAUGCACUAAGGGUAACAGCAGCAAACUCUUUGAUCUUCUAACCACAGUAUCUGCUUGAGAACAGAGCUGGUCUCUGCUGAAAGCAGACAGCUAUGCAAACAAUACCUUUGAUAUUGUUAAAUAGAUGUUGGUGGCUUUUUGUUUGUUUGGUUGGUUGGUUUGUUUGUUUACUUCAGUGGCCUCUCAUCUUUCACUUCAGGAAGUUUAACCUGGUCUACUUUACAAGGCAGCGGAAUUCCACAACUUGCAAUCAUGACCCCAUAUAAGCCCCCAUAAUUUAGUUCAGUCUAGCUAUGGGAGAUAGUGUUACUUUCCAUUAACUUAGUUAUAUUUAUGCUCAACUAAAAUAAAUAUUGUUUCUCACUGGACA